CCCGGCACAUGUUCUGCAGCCCAUCUCUCUGUUCUGAUCCCCUUUCUAUAACCUUUUUUUUUUUUCUUUAGCACCAACCCAUAGGAUCUCAUUCCUGCUGCCGCUCUCUUUGAGAUUGUUCCUGCCCUGCCCACAGUGCUUCCGGCCACCAUUUUCCAAGUCAUGCUCCUUCUCAUCCAUUCUCCAAUCCCUCUCCUUCGGCUGUGGGUGUCACAGCCUUGCUAGGUCCAAGAUAUUCAUCCUCGGAUUCCUCUCAAAUACAUCCUAGAUAAAGAAGUAUAUUCACCAACAACCGCUCAGAAACCUACUGCUAGAGCAAGGCGCAACAACCGUCCACUCCGUGAAGGUUUUAGAUGGCUGCUUCCUAGACAGUCUCUUAAUUAAGAGUGACGUACUUUCAAACCUUCCACACCUGGUUGAAAGCCGACAAAGGAAUUGCAGAGGAAGAAAGGAAAACACACCUGCAUGAUCCAGGAAGCCAAGGGGGUGGUAGGCAGUUUCUACAUAUUUCCCAGAGGCAGCAAUAAUGAUAAUGUUGGUAUUUGUUAAGCGCUUACUAUGUGCAGAGCACUGUUCUUAGCGCCGGGGGAGAUACAGGAUAAUCAGGUUGUCCCCCGUGAGGCUCACAGUCUUAAUCCCCAUUUUACAGAUGAGAUCACUGAGGCCCAAUGAAGUGACUUGCCCACAGUCACCCAGCUGACAAGUGGCAGAGCCGGGAUUCGAACCCUUGACCUCUGACUCCCAAGC
rnacentral:lncRNA from 1 species